rnacentral:rRNA from 1 species
UACGUAGGGGGCCAGCGUUGCUCGGAAUCACUGGGCGUAAAGCGCACGUAGGCGGAUUGCUAAGUCAGGGGUGAAAUCCUGGAGCUCAACUCCAGAACUGCCUUUGAUACUGGCGAUCUCGAGUCCGGGAGAGGUGAGUGGAACUGCGAGUGUAGAGGUGAAAUUCGUAGAUAUUCGCAAGAACACCAGUGGCGAAGGCGGCUCACUGGCCCGGUACUGACGCUGAGGUGCGAAAGCGUGGGGAGCAAACAGG